GGGGCCGACCUGGUUUCGACGUGGGUGCGGAGUUGGGAAAGGGCAUGCCGAGCACCAGUUCGCUCGUAAAACCACUGGAAACAAAGUAACUGCGAACGAUACUUCGUACGCCCUCGCCGCUUAACACCGGUGAGCCUCUCAACGGUUGGCCAAUGGGCCGGGUUGAAGACCGCAAGGUCGGAAGCUGAGAGGUCAUUCACAUUGGCUGGUUUCCCGGUGGGCCACUCACCAGGGAACAAGAUCAAGUGGCUGGCAAGUCCGGUAGCGUGCUGCUGCGCGACCGGGCGGGUGAGACUCAAAUCAGUCAGCUAAGCAUGUAGAUCUACCUGGCAAUGGCUUGCGGACGGGGGUUCAAUUCCCCCCGGCUCCACCA
rnacentral:tmRNA from 1 species